rnacentral:rRNA from 1 species
UACAGAGGUCUCAAGCGUUGUUCGGAUUCAUUGGGCGUAAAGGGCGCGUAGGCUGCGGGGCAAGUCGGGUGUGAAAUCUCAGAGCUCAACUCUGAAACUGCACUCGCUACUGCUUUGCUCGAGGACUGGAGAGGAGAUUGGAAUUCACGGUGUAGCAGUGAAAUGCGUAGAUAUCGUGAGGAAGACCAGUGGCGAAGGCGGAUCUCUGGACAGUUCCUGACGCUGAGGCGCGAAGGCCAGGGGAGCAAACGGG